rnacentral:rRNA from 1 species
UACGUAGGGUGCGAGCGUUGCCCGGAUUUAUUGGGCGUAAAGGGCGCGUAGGCGGCUCUGCACGUCCGUUGUGAAAUCGCCCGGCUCAACUGGGCGGGGUCAGCGGAUACGGCAGAGCUCGAGCAAGCUAGGGGGCAAUGGAAUUCCCGGUGUAGCGGUGAAAUGCGCAGAUAUCGUAAGGAAGACCAGUGGCGAAGGCGGGUCUCUGGACAGUUCCUGACGCUGAGGCACGAAGGCCAGGGGAGCAAACGGG